AUUCAAAUAGCUUAUAUAGAGUAUGAUAUUGAAGAUAUCAAGGUAAUAAAUUUAUUUUUGAAUA
rnacentral:tRNA from 1 species